rnacentral:rRNA from 1 species
AACGAACGCUGGCGGCAGGCCUAACACAUGCAAGUCGAACGCCCCGCAAGGGGAGUGGCAGACGGGUGAGUAACGCGUGGGAACGUGCCUUUCGGUUCGGAAUAGGCAGGGGAAACCCGGGUUAAUACCGGAUACGUCCUUCGGGAGAAAGAUUUAUCGCCGAGAGAUCGGCCCGCGUCUGAUUAGCUAGUUGGCGGGGUAAUGGCCCACCAAGGCGACGAUCAGUAGCUGGGCUGAGAGGAUGAUCAGCCACACUGGGACUGAGACACGGGCCAGACUCCUACGGCGGGGAGCAGUGGGGAAUAUUGGACAAUGGGCGCAAGCCUGAUCCAGCCAUGCCGCGUGAGUGAUGAAGGCCCUAGGGUUGUAAAGCUCUUUCGGCGGGGACGAUAAUGACGGUACCCGCAGAAGAAGCCCCGGCUAACUUCGUGCCAGCCGCCGCCGUAA